rnacentral:rRNA from 1 species
GGGGAAUUUUCCGCAAUGGGCGAAAGCCUGACGGAGCAAUACCGCGUGAGGGAGGACGGCUUUUGGGUUGUAAACCUCUUUUAUUGGGGAAGAAGAACUGACGGUACCCAAUGAAUCAGCAUCGGCUAACUCCGUGCCAGCAGCCGCGGUAAUACGGAGGAUGCAAGCGUUAUCCGGAAUUAUUGGGCGUGAAGCGUCCGCAGGUGGUUUUUCAAGUCUGCUGUUAAAGCGCAGGGCUUAACUCUGUAACGGCGGUGGAAACUGAGAGACUGGAGUAUGGUAGGGGUAGCGGGAAUUCCCAGUGUAGCGGUGAAAUGCGUAGAUAUUGGGAAGAACACCAGCGGCGAAAGCGCGCUACUGGGCCAUUACUGACACUCAUGGACGAAAGCUAGGGGAGCGAAAGGGAUUAGAUACCCCUGUAGUC